CCAAGGAAGAAUGCACUUUGUUCUGCUUCUCCCUGCUGCAAAAUUUACAGGAUGGCUUUCCUCCAUCUGUGUCCAGGAGAGGUCUGUGAUUGUUUCAGCACUUCCUGUGACUAGCUGAGGAGGGCUUUCUAAUUCUGAGAUUCUGCCCACUUAAUGAAAUUAAUAGAUAUUGCCUCUGACACAUCCUCUUUCUCCUCUCUUUGGGAGGAACAACCAAGAGGAGCACCAACAAAACAUUUAUUGUACCUUCUCAAUACAUCCUUCAGCUCAAUAGAUUUUGAUUAAAUUCCACUAAUGUUAAUUGGACGCCUACUCCACACAAGCCAUUGUGGGUGAUACAAAAAUGAAUAACACACGGUCCUUGCGAAAUGGGAACUUUCAUUCUAUAUAACCACUUGGAGAAACUCCUCUAACUCUUCCCUUUUACAUUUCCUUCAGGUAGGGGUGAAAGAUUCCCUAUCCAAUAGAGGAUGAGAGGAUUGGAAGGAAUUUUCCCAGCCCUCAUAUUCCCUGUCCUGCUGUCUCCUCAGCUUUGGAGAUAAUUGUCACAGUUGAGUCCUGAUGCUUAAAGAGUAGCAGGCUCUAUAAGAACCUUGAGCUUCCUGAGUGGGGUUUAAAUGGUCCCUACAUGACCUUUCUCAGCUACUGAGUAAAGUAUUCUGGAAGAUGCUGAAAAAAUAAGGGGACUAUGACUGACAGUUAACCCAUUACCGGAAGUUGGGAGAACUUUUCACAAACGACGUGGAUGAAGAACUGAGUUGCAAAACACAGCAGCUGCCUGUGCUUAGACAUGAACUAAGGCUACCCUCCUAAACGGUUGUUUGAACCCAGCAGACCGAGGGAUAAUCUGGAAAAAGGGGAAAACCGCAUUUCUUCCAGCCCUGCAACCUGGUUCAUGGUGCCACUCGGACGUACUGGAGAUCAGGAACCAGCCCGCACGUGGAUGUGCGGCUGCCAGAGAGCCCCUGGCAGUCACCAUCCAACUUUGUUUCUGUGAAUUUGACUCCUUGAGCUACCUCCCAUGUGGGGUGCUGUAUUUGUCUUUUCGGUGCCUGGCUUAUUUCCCUGAACAUCAUGUCCUCAAGG